rnacentral:rRNA from 1 species
UACGUAGGGGGCAAGCGUUGUCCCGAUUUAUCGGGCGUAAAGAGCGUGUAGGCGGCUAGGUAGGUCCGCUGUGAAAACUCGAGGCUCAACCUCGAGACGUCGGUUGAAACCACCUGGCUAGAGUCCGGAAGAGGAGAGUGGAAUUCCCGGUGUAGCGGUGAAAUGCGCAGAUAUCGGGAAGAACACCCGUGGCGAAGGCGGCUCUCUGGGACGGUACUGACGCUGAGACGCGAAAGCGUGGGGAGCGAACAGG